GGACUGAGACACGGCCCAGACUCCUACGGGAGGCAGCAGUAGGGAAUCUUGCGCAAUGGGCGAAAGCCUGACGCAGCAAUGCCGCGUGCGGGACGAAGGCCCUAGGGUCGUAAACCGCUUUCAGUAGGGACGAAAAUGACGGUACCUGCAGAAUAAGCUCCGGCCAACUACGUGCCAGCAGCCGCGGUGAUACGUAGGGAGCAAGCGUUGUCCGGAAUUACUGGGCGUAAAGGGCUCGUAGGUGGUUGAGUAAGUCAGAUGUGAAAUCUCAGGGCCCAACCCUGAGCCUGCAUUUGAUACUGCUCUGACUAGAGUCCGGUAGGGGAGUGCGGAACUCCUGGUGUAGCGGUGAAAUGCGCAGAUAUCAGGAAGAACACCGACAGCGAAGGCAGCACUCUGGGCCGGUACUGACACUGAGGAGCGAAAGCAUGGGUAGCAAACAGGAUUAGAUACCCUGGUAGUCCAUGCCGUAAACGUUGGGCACUAGGUGUGGGGAGAACUCAACUCUCUCCGCGCCGUAGCUAACGCAUUAAGUGCCCCGCCUGGGGAGUACGGCCGCAAGGCUAAAACUCAAAGGAAUUGACGGGGGCCCGCACAAGCGGCGGAGCAUGUUGCUUAAUUCGAGGCAACGCGAAGAACCUUACCUGGGUUGAACUACGUGGGAAAAGCCGCAGAGAUGCGGUGUCCUUCGGGGUCCACGAUAGGUGGUGCAUGGCUGUCGUCAGCUCGUGUCGUGAGAUGUUGGGUUAAGUCCCGCAACGAGCGCAACCCUUGUCCUAUGUUGCCAGCGGGUAAAGCCGGGGACUCGUAGGAGACUGCCGGGGUCAACUCGGAGGAAGGUGGGGACGACGUCAAGUCAUCAUGCCCCUUAUGUCCAGGGCUGCAAACAUGCUACAAUGGCCGGUGCAAAGGGCAGCUAAACCGCGAGGUCAAGCGAAUCCCAAAAAGCCGGUCUCAGUUCGGAUUGAAGUCUGCAACUCGACUUCAUGAAGCUGGAGUCGCUAGUAAUCCCGGAUCAGCAACGCCGGGGUGAAUACGUUCCCGGGCCUUGUACACACCGCCCGUCACACGCCGAAAGUCGAUAACACCCGAAGUCAGUGGCCCAACCCUUUAGGGAGGGAGCUGCCGAAGGUGGGAUUGGCGAUUGGGGUGAAGUCGUAACAAGGUAGCCGUACCGGAAGGUGCGGCUG
rnacentral:rRNA from 1 species